rnacentral:rRNA from 1 species
ACACUCCUGCGGGAGGCAGCAGUGGGGAAUUUUGGACAAUGGGCGAAAGCCUGAUCCAGCCAUGCCGCGUGCAGGAUGAAGGCCUUCGGGUUGUAAACUGCUUUUGUACGGAACGAAACGGCCUUUUCUAAUAAAGAGGGCUAAUGACGGUACCGUAAGAAUAAGCACCGGCUAACUACGUGCCAGCAGCCGCGGUAAUACGUAGGGUGCAAGCGUUAAUCGGAAUUACUGGGCGUAAAGCGUGCGCAGGCGGUUAUGUAAGACAGUUGUGAAAUCCCCGGGCUCAACCUGGGAACUGCAUCUGUGACUGCAUAGCUAGAGUACGGUAGAGGGGGAUGGAAUUCCGCGUGUAGCAGUGAAAUGCGUAGAUAUGCGGAGGAACACCGAUGGCGAAGGCAAUCCCCUGGACCUGUACUGACGCUCAUGCACGAAAGCGUGGGGAGCAAACAGGAUUAGAAACCCUGGUAGUCCCAUGA